CAAACGGCUCUUUUCAGAGCCACCAAAUAAUCAAGAAAGAAUACUGU
rfam:Strongylocentrotus purpuratus Contig44202_fixed, whole genome shotgun sequence.